CGGGGCCCUCGGGUUUGAGUGACGGAGCUCGGAGCGAAGAAAAACAAAAGGCUAAAGACGCGACAGCAACAUAGAACUACACCACAAAACUACACGGACAUGAAUGAAGCGACUGAGUGAAGGAGGCGCGCACUGAUGACCACAAUAAAACAACACAUUGACCUUGAGACUUAAACUAAGUGCAGCUGCAGUACUCACCCAUACAGGCCAGCAGUCCAGUGAUGGCCUGAACAUCGGCUCCAGCAAAAAUAUCCGACAGAGAAUUCACCACCGGCAAACAGAGCGUGUGCACUCGGAUCCUUCUCUCUCCUGCAGGGACAACAACAUUUACAACCAGUACUCAAACAUAUACCAGCCAUGAGGAUCUCUAGAUGAAGCUUUGUGCUAUGAGCUGAUUGGCUGUGAGGGCGGUGCAUCUGCUUCACUUCUGUCUGAAAAAGCUGUUCUAAAGCUGUGCACAUGUUUGAAAAGGGUUUGGGAAAGACCGGAACAAGUGAGGUACAUUUAAAUACAUACUUCAUUCUUUCAGUUUAAAAAUCUCGUACCUCAAAUUUAAAUAUUUGUAUCAUUUUCCUACACAUGUGAAUUGGUGUUUCACAUUUUUUACUUAAGGGUACACUGUAACUUUUGGUUUGGGGUCAGGCCUAUCCUGUACCUUUGCUGGAGGUGUAGAGCAGCGCGGCCUGGAAGGACACCACCUGCAGGUCGUCCAGGUUUUCGUCGAUGGACAUCUGAACUGCAAAUCCUGCAUCUGGGUUCACGUUGGGAAGCGAGAGCAGGUCUGUGGAGCGCACGAAGAAGUUUCCGUGGAACGUGUGGAUCGACAGGCCUGAGGAGAGACAACAUUUACAUUUUAAGAGUGUAAAAUCCAGUAAAAAAUGAAUAUUAUCAGAA